CCUACGGGUGGCAGCAGUGAGGAAUAUUGGUCAAUGGACGGAAGUCUGAACCAGCCAUGCCGCGUGCAGGAAGACGGCUCUAUGAGUUGUAAACUGCUUUUGUACAAGGGUAAACCUGAAUACGUGUAUUCAGCUGAAAGUACUGUACGAAUACGGAUCGGCUAACUCCGUGCCAGCAGCCGCGGUAAUACGGAGGAUGCGAGCGUUAUCCGGAUUUAUUGGGUUUAAAGGGUGCGUAGGCGGAAUAUCAAGUCAGCGGUAAAAAUUCGGGGCUCAACCCCGUCGUGCCGUUGAAACUGAUGUUCUUGAGUGGGCGAGAAGUAUGCGGAAUGCGUGGUGUAGCGGUGAAAUGCAUAGAUAUCACGCAGAACUCCGAUUGCGAAGGCAGCAUACCGGCGCCCAACUGACGCUGAAGCACGAAAGCGUGGGUAUCGAACAGGAUUAGAUAUCCGGGUAGUC
rnacentral:rRNA from 1 species